AACCGCCAGAGGUGAGGACGUUUAUCCCUAUAUUCCUGACACCCCCGACUUAUUGUGUGUGUUACAGAUGAAACUGCCGAGCUCGGUAGGCCAGAAGAAGAUCAAGGCCAUUGAGAAGUUUGUGACGGAGCGGGAAGUGGACCUGAACCCCAAGCCCACGGAGGAGAUGGUCCAGAUGUUCAACGAGCUGCUCAUUGGCAUGGUGCUGGUCUAGGAGCUGAAGCAGGCCCAUGGUAACUGUGAGUACGAACAACAGAUGCCCCGCCACUUCUACAAGGCCCUGCUGCUGAAGGCUGGAGGAGGGGUGGGCCCUGUCAGGCCCCCAGGGGGAGGAGGACUGGGGGGUCUGGAGGUGCCCGGCCCCGAUGACAUCAAUGGGGAGGCCAAGGAGCAGAUCAUCGACGUGGUGGGAGCCCCACUCACCCCCAACUCACGUAAACGCAGAGAGUCCGCCUCCAGUUCCUCGUCCAUCAAGUAGGUGGAGAAGCUUUGACGUGGAAAAUGAGCCCUGGGGUUUUAUGUGACUGAGGAGGAAAGGAGAGAGGAUGAGGUCACAUCCCACCCUGGCCUCAGUGGAGUGGCCUGUAGAGCUGUGGGUUGGAGAAAGGGGGAGGGUUUGUCAUCCAUCACAUCACCCCCCCGACAAAUAACAAAUAACCAGGCCCCCCCCCCCCCCCCCUAAAUGUGACUGAUGCUCCUGUACAAUAACCCCCCCCACCCACCCACCACCACCCCAGGCCCAACAUCCACUCUCCCCUUUACAGCAAUAUCAUGACAAAUACAACGACUGACAUUCCUUUUCAUUACUCUUCCUCUCCCUCCUUUGUGCAGGCUGAGAUGAGGCCAGAUAAACUGUAAAUAGCCGGACCGAGCUAAUAGAGCCAUGGUGGAGAGAUGAGUCUACUGUCUAUUUGAGAUUGGGCCAGGGCCUGGUUUUCCAAAAGCAUCUUAAGGCUAAAUUUUAACAAUUUAAUUUAGCCUUAAUAUUCUUUUGGGUAACCAGGGCCAUAAAUAAGGGCAAUCUCUGACCACAGUUUCAUCAUGCUGUUUUGUUACCUGGGUUAUGUCGUUUUGUGUUCCUGCUUAGUGGAGGCACCCCCUGUCAUUGCAUUAAAAGCAACAGCCAUGGAAAGUGCUAUUUCAGAUAGUUUGAUAGUUUGAUUAAGCUAAGAUGGACUGCUGUCCUCAGUGAAUCAGAAAAGAGUUGAAAGCAACCUACAAGAUUGACCAAAUAAAUAAACCUAUUUUUUUCCCC
rnacentral:lncRNA from 1 species